rnacentral:rRNA from 1 species
AUGACUAGGGAUAACCUUAGGAAGAGACACAUCAUCAAACCCCAUGAUUGUGUUUACUGCUUGGAAUAAGAGUCUUGUUCUCACCUAUUUUUUGAAUGUAUAGUUGCUAAACAUCUCUAGGCCCACAUUGAGGAAUAUUUCUCUAGUCAGAUUGGCUCAUCCUUCAAAUCUGUCGCCAGAUUCUGGAUUGCUACAAAAAAGUGCUCAGUUUUAAACACUGUUAGCUCAGCUGUCCUUUGGUGCCUCUGGAAAUAUAGAAAUGUUAUGAUUUUCAGUAACACCUCCUGGAUUUCCAUUCCGCAGGUCUUGAGGUUGAUCAGGAACAUGGUGAGGAACUGGGCGAUUCUCUCCUCCGGAUCGGACAAGGACAAGUUGAUGAGCUUCAUGGAAACCCUAACAAGAUCCCUCCAGAAACCGUUGGCGAUCACUUGUGGCUGA